rnacentral:siRNA from 1 species
CCAGCCCUUCUCUGAUGUUUCCC